rnacentral:rRNA from 1 species
GCUUGCGAUCAUACCAGCACUAAUGCACCGGAUCCCAUCAGAACUCCGCUGUUAAGCGUGCUUGGGCGAGAGUAGUACUAGGAUGGGUGACCCCCUGGGAAGUCCUCGUGUUGCAACCC